rnacentral:rRNA from 1 species
UACGUAGGGGGCAAGCGUUGUCCGGAUUUAUUGGGCGUAAAGAGCGUGUAGGCGGUCAGGUAGGUCCGUUGUGAAAAUUCGAGGCUCAACCUCGAGACGCCGAUGGAAACCAUCUGACUAGAGUCCGGAAGAGGAGAGUGGAAUUCCUGGUGUAGCGGUGAAAUGCGCAGAUAUCAGGAAGAACACCCGUGGCUAAGGCGGCUCUCUAGUACGGUACUGACGCUGAGACGCGAAAGCGUGGGGAGCGAACAGG